UGCUGCUCCGCCGCGUCCCACUCUUCUCGCUCCGCUUUCGCCCCGCAUCUUCCACCUUCCUUCCAGUCCUUGCGGCGACCGAGCCCGCAGUGUCAGUCCCCAGCGGGGACCUGAGUAUGCCGGUGAAGACGAGAGCGGAAGGCGAGGACGACGGCUUCGGGGAAGCGGGUGACCCGAGGAGACUGCUGGAGCGACCUUGGCGUUUCCGGGGGUGCCUUCCCGGGAAGGGGAAUCGGGAUGUUGGCUUCGAAGGGACCGAAGGGCCCACCUCGACCCGCCCCGAGUGGGUUUGGAGUUGUAGGUGCUGUCUCGGAUGCAGGGCGAGCACCCGCGAGCGGGUAACCAGUCCCGUGAGAGCUGCAGGUCCCCAGCCCCGUUUUACAGAUAGGGAAACUGAGGCAGCUGCUGGGACACUCGCCCAUAUGGGUUUUGCUCCACCCACUUCCUUCAGCCACUUUACAGACCAGGAGUUGAGGGACUGCUCGAGCUUAGAGUGUUUAGGGGUGGUUGAGGGUGACCCCCAUGUUCUGUGCUCUACUCUAUCCCUAUCCAGGCCUUCUCCCAGCGCCACUCUCACGCUCCUGCUUGCUAGCUCCUGCUUGCUAGCUCCUGCUCCUCCCAGCUUCAUCCUCCUCCUGUUUACAUUAAUUGCUCCUGAUCUUCCACACUCUUGAUUUUCCGGAUUCUAACUCCAUCAAAAUGUAACUUGAUGUGUUCAGGCCCCGGGGACACCUAGGCACUUGAGGGGGGCGGGUCCGUGUUUGGCCUGCUGGGCUUAGUAGGAGGGUCUGGCCCGGGGCGGGGAGCGCGAUGCUCUGCUGGGUCAGCAUCUCCAGCCACCUGGCUUUGCUGGUGUGGCCUCGCAGCCUUGCCAAAUGUGAGCAGCUUACAGAGCAACCAGUUGCACGUGCUUAAGCUGCCGAGGUGACACAGGGCGCUGUAGGGUCCAGCCCCACAGGGUCGGUAGGUCUCUCCCUGUGUGCGGCGACGAGAGAGUGUAGAAAUAAAGACACAAGACAAAGAGACGAGAAAAGGCAGCUGGGCCCGGGGGACCACUACCACCAAUGCGCGGAGACCGGUAGUGGCCCCGAAUGUCUGGCUGCACUGUUAUUUAUUGGAUACAAGGCAGAAGGGGCAGGGUAAAGAAUGUCAGUCACCUCCAAUGAUAGGUAAGGUCACGUGGGUCACGUGUCCACUGGACAGGGGGCCCUUCCCUGCCUGGCAGCGGAGGCAGAGAGGGAGAGGAGACAAAGAGAAAGACAGCUUACGCCAUUAUUUCUGCAUAUCAGGGACUAUUAGUAUUUUCACUAAUUGACUACUGCUAUCUGGAAGGCAGAGCCAGGUGUACAGGAUGGAACAUGAAGGCGGACUAGGAGCGUGACCACUGAAGCACAGCAUCACAGGGAGACAGGCCUCCAGAUAACUGCGGGCGAGCCUGACUGAUGUCAGGCCCUCCACAAGAGGUGGAGGAGCAGAGUCUUCUCUAAACUCCCCCGGGGAAAGGGAGACCCCCACCCUCCCUUUCCCGGUCUGCUAAGUAGCAGGUGUUGUUCCUUGACACCUUUUGCUACUGCUGGACCAUGAUCCGCCUGGUAACGGGCGUCUUCCCAGAUGCUGGCGUCACCGCUAGACCAAGGAGCCCUCUGGUGGCCCUGUGUGGGCAUAACAGAAGGCUCGCACUCUUGUCUUCUGGUCACACCUCACUAUGUCCCCUCAGCUCCUAUCUCUGUAUGGCCUGGUUUUUCCUAGGCUAUGAUUAUAGAGCGAGGAUUAUCAUAAUAUUGGAAUAAAAAGUAAUUGCUACAAACUAAUGAUUAAUGAUAGUCAUAUAUAAUCAUAUCUAAGAUCUAUAUCUGGUAUAACUAUUCUUGUUUUAUAUUUUAUUAUACUGGAAGAGCUCGUGUCCUCUGUCUCUUGCCUCGGUGCCUGGGUGGCUUGCCGCCCACACACAAAAAAGAUAAAUGUUUGAGGUGAUGAAGAUCUUAAUUUCCUUGAUUUGAUCAUUACAUGUUUCAUACAGGUAUCAAAGUAUCACAUGUACCCCCAAAGUAUGUACAACUAUGAUAUAUCAUAAAUAAAUGAAUAAAUAAAUAAUAAAAGACAGAAAAAAAAAAAAAAAAA
rnacentral:lncRNA from 1 species